AAACCUGUAGCCGCUGUGCCUUUCCCAUCCACUAGGUGGUGCUAGGACGUCAAGGCUGCUCCUGCAGAAUGUUCUCAGGCCUACUUUUGUGCAGGACCUCCUGGUGCUGACCAUCCAUCCAGAGCUGUCCAUUAGGGACCACAGCUGGCCUGGCUGUCGCUGGAGCAGGAAGGAGUGAUGGCACCACUGAUGGACACUGCAAUUUCUUCCACUUUGGCCUGACCCCAGGUCUCUGCGUCAUCUCAGUGCUACUUCCCUUCAGGGUCAGGGAACAUAGUGGUUACCAUGGAACCCAAGGCCUGGAGGGACUAAGAGCAGCAUUCCUGCCUGUCCCUCCAGCUCACACAGUAAACUGGGUGUCAGGGACAUUACUUGGUGCUGGAAGAGAGAUCAACCGUCAGCCAGAGGGUGAGGGCUACUAUUCCAUCAGAGGGAAAGCCAGUGGUGAGAAGCCAGCCCCUGUCCUGCAGCCCUGCCCAGCCGCUAAGUCUGGGAUCCGUAGGGGUGCCCUCAGAAGAUCUUGAAGCCCUUCAACAGGGUCAGGGUGGGUGCCUUGCGCUUGCUCUGGGCCCGGGAUGACUUCACAGUAACCAGCUUGGCUUGGGCCACGGCAGGCAUCUCCUUCAGACUGACGGUGGAAAGUGUGUUGAAGGUACAGCUGGCCAGCCCAUGCCGGGCGGUGAGCGGAGCCUGGUGGGGCAGGGCCCUCUCCUCGGAGAUGAAGAGGGGCCGGGGCAGGGAAUUCUUCUCCAGUUCCCGCCGUGCCUCCCGCACGGCCUCGUGGAAGACAUGCUGCACAUGCUCAAAGUCUAGGCAGGCAGAGACCUCAAAAAACAGGCACCCGAACUUGCCCGCCAAAGCUGCGCCCUCUGCCUUGGUGACCUGCCUGGUGGGGAAGCAGGACUUGUCACUGUGGGGGCUUGAAUUGUGAAUUUUCAGAAACCAGCACCCGAUGCAUGCAUACAUGUCUGUGAGCGGGUGGCACAGCUGCAAGACAAUCACGGAGACACACCGGUGCUCGGCUGUAAGUUUUCUGCUCAUCAAAUCCUGACCCACUAACCUCAGAACUUGAUCAAAGAAGGAAAUGAAGAUAACUGUCAUGACUUUUCUUAGGGAAUUGAGCCUGCUUCAUUUGAGUGUCAUAAUCUUUGUUAUUUGCUCCCAAACCAUUUUUUAGACAAUCUCUUUGGUGAAGAUUAGGAUCAAAACAGUGGUCUAGAUUUUGUCCUCAUACUGAAGAUGAUUUACCACAAUUCA